rnacentral:rRNA from 1 species
AAAGUUUGAUCCUAGCUCAGGAUGAGUGCUGGCGGCAUGCUUAACACAUGCAAGUUGGAUGGGAAGUGGUGUUUCCAGUGGCGGACGAGUGAGUAAUGCAUAAGAACCUACCCUUGGGAGGGGAACAAUAGUUGGAAAUGACUGCUAAUACCCCAUAGGCUGAGGUACAAAAGGAGGAAUCCGCCCGAGGAAGGGCUCGUGUCUGAUUAGCUAGUUGGUGAGGCAAUAGCUUACCAAGGCGACGAUCAAUAGCUGGUCCAAGAGGAUGAUCAGCCACACUGAGACUGAGACACAGCCUAGAUUCCUACAGGAGGCAGCAGUGGGGAAUUUUCCACAAUGGAUGAAAGCCUGAUGGAGCACUACCCGAUUGAGGUAGAAGGCUUAUGGGUCGUGAACUUCUUUUCCCAGAGAAGAAACAAUGAUGGUAUCUGGGGAAUAAGCAUUGGCUAACUCUGUGCCAGCAGCCGUGGUAAUACAGAGGAUGUAAGCAUUAUCUAGAAUGAUUUGGUGUAAAAUGUUUGUAGGUGGCUUUUUAAGUCUGCCGUUAAAUUCCAAGGCUUAACCCUAGAAAAGCGAUGGAAACAACCAAGCUGGAGUAUGGUAGGGGUAGAGGGAAUUUUUCGUGGAGCAGUGAAAUGCAUAGAGAUCGAAAAGAACACCAAUGGUGAAAGCACUCUGUUAGGCCCGGCACUAACACUAACCCUAGUAGUCCUAGCCGUAAACAAUGGAUACUAGGCAUUGUGCAUAUCGACCCAUGCAGUGCUGUAGCUAAUGCAUUAAGUAUCCCGCCUGGGAAGUACGUUCGCAAUAAUGAAACUCAAAAAAAUUGACAGGGGCUCGUACAAGUAGUGAAGCACGUGGUUUAAUUCGAUGCAAAAUGAAGAGCCUUACCAGGGCUUGACUGAUGGAAUUUGGUGUAGGUUUAUGUUGUUGUACCCUAGAGCACAAUCAUUCAAGGUGUUAGUCAAGAAUGAUUGUUGUUGGUUCUUGGUUCUUGAUUUUGUUUUUUGGGUUUGUUAAGGUUUUGUUUCUGGUUUUUAAUGGAGGUUUGGGUUUCUUGAGAAGGUUGUUAGCUUUUGGGAAGAAGAAGGAAACAAAUGUAGUAGUUGAGAGAGAGAGAGAGAGCCAAAAUUGUUGUUUUUCAAAAUUUUUGAAUAUUACUUCCUCAACGUUUUUCAUUUCAAUUUUUAUACUUUUAAAUACAUCAAAAAGAUAAUAAGACAUGCUGCCAUAUUGAGCAAUAAAUACAAAAGCAUUAAAAGUAACCAACCAAGCCAAAUUACCUCAACUA